AGUGUGCGAUGGACCUACCUCCACGUGGUGCACCCUGGGCAACGUAUACUAAUACGGCAAAAAAGUCUAU
rfam:Hymenolepis nana genome assembly, scaffold: HNAJ_contig0003099